AGCAACAAAAAGGCAAACGAAACCCAAAACAGAGCACUUGAUGCCUUUGUUUGUUGUGCGUGUGUGUGCGUGUGUGGCUGUGUGUGUAGCUGACAGAUACGCACUAUUACAGAUACAUUAUACAGAUACAAUAAUUUUUCCAAUGAUGACUCUCAAACUGUAAUUCGAAGGCAGUGACUGCCAAACUGUGCCAUAAGGAAAUAGUGAGCGUGAAGAACCUCUUUGGCUCGAUCUCGAGGGACUUUCAAAAUGUUGACAGGUUGCCCAUAACAUAGUCUAAGGCAUAUUUAUUUACUUAACUAAGAGUCUUGAGCCCCAAAUGGAGUUGAAAAGCCAAGCAAUGCUAAAAGCCAAUAUACCCUUUUAGCCACUUUGGGCAAAGGGUCGGCCCGCAAUGCGUGCCAUUUUGCGAUUAGCUGACACAAAGCCGCCCGGGCAGGAGCUACCUGUCAUGCUGUUGUUGUUGCGGUUGUUCGACCCGUACAGCUGACUUUCUAUGUCAAGCCCAAGGGUCUAAUCGCGGCACGACUGGGCGACCGUAGUCCAUAUAAGGCAAAGACGGGUUUAAAAAUCAUUUACAAAGGAAUUGGAAAAACUAGCCAAAAGCUACACUCGACAGAAAGCCUGCAUUUAAAGUUCGAAAAAGAGGCUUUUCUUUCAAAAUGCAAGUCAAUUGUGCUGUAAAAUGUGCCCAAAUCAAGUAUGAAUCAAUCUCAAUGUCAACAUUUAACAUUAAUGUUAAAUUUAAAAUAAGGUU